rnacentral:rRNA from 1 species
AGUGAACGCUGGCGGCAGGCCUAAUACAUGCAAGUCGAACGGCAGCACAGCAGAGCUUGCUCUGUGGGUGACGAGUGGCGGACGGGUGAGGAAUACGUGGGAAUCUGCCCAGUCGUGGGGGAUAACGUAGGGAAACUUACGCUAAUACCGCACGCGCCCUUCGGGGGAAAGCCGGGGACCUUCGGGCCUGGCGCGAUUGGAUGAGCCCACGUCGGAUUAGCUAGUUGGCGGGGUAAAGGCCCACCAAGGCGACGAUCCGUAGCUGGUCUGAGAGGAUGAUCAGCCACACUGGAACUGAGACACGGUCCAGACUCCUACGGGAGGCAGCAGUAGGGAAUAUUGGACAAUGGGCGCAAGCCUGAUCCAGCCAUGCCGCGUGAGUGAAGAAGGCCCUCGGGUUGUAAAGCUCUUUUGUCCGGAAAGAAAGCGCCGGGUUAAUACCCUGGUGUCCUGACGGUACCGGAAGAAUAAGCACCGGCUAACUUCGUGCCAGCAGCCGCGGUAAU